UAGGGAAUUUUCGUCAAUGGGCGCAAGCCUGAACGAGCGAUGCCGCGUGAGUGAAGAAGGCCUUCGGGUCGUAAAGCUCUGUUGCGGGGGAAAAAAGGACAUCUGCAGGAAAUGGUAGAUGACAGAUGGUGCCCCGCCAGAAAGUCACGGCUAACUACGUGCC
rnacentral:rRNA from 1 species